rnacentral:misc_RNA from 1 species
GAAUUGCGAUAUGUAAUGUGAAUUGCAGAAUUCAGUGAAUCAUCGAAUCUUUGAACGCACAUUGCACCCUCUGGUAAUCCAGAGGGUAUGCCUGUUUGAGUGUCAUUAACAACAUCAAAUCCAGACUUUUUUCUGUGAUUUGGAAUUUGAAGGCUUUUGCUAACUGUCAAGGUCAGCUCCUUUUAAAUACAUUAGCAGGUUGCAAACAACUGGCCCCAGUUUGAUAGACUUGAUCAUCUGUGCUGUCGCUAGUAAAUUGUUUGAUCGCUUCAAAUUGUCUCUGGACUGCCAUUAGGCAAUACAUUUAAGUCUUGACCUCAAAUCAGGUAGGAUUACCCGCUGAACUUAA